UCAAGAAACUUCCACAAUGGGCGAAAGCCUGAUGGAGCGACGUCGCGUGAUGGACGAAGUGCUUCGGCACGUAAACAUCUUUUAUGUGGGAUGAAAUUAUUGACAGUACCACAUGAAUAAGGGGCUCCUAACUCUGUGCCAGCAGGAGCGGUAAUACAGAGGCCCCAAGCGUUAUCCGGAAUCACUGGGCGUAAAGGGUGUCGAGGCGGUUGUAUUAGUCGUUCGUAAAAUCUACGAGCUUAACUUGUAGGCGGCGAACGAAACGGUACGACUUGAGGUUUGGAGAGGUGCGUGGAACUCACGGUGUAGGGUGAAAUCCGUUGAUAUCGUGGGGAACACCAAAGGCGAAGGCAGCGCACUGGCCAAAAUCUGACGCUCACACACGAAAGCUAGGGUAGCGAAGAGGAUUAGAUACCCUAGUAGUCCCUGAGCGGGCUGGCAAGGCGCAU
rnacentral:rRNA from 1 species